GACGAACGCUGGCGGCGUGCUUAACACAUGCAAGUCGAACGGAAAGGCCCUGCUUUUGUGGGGCGCUCGUUUGGCGAACGGGUGAGUAACACGUGAGUAACCCGUCCUUGUCUUUGGGAUAACAUUAGGAAACACGGGCUCAUAUCCGAUAUAAGCUCCUGCUCCACAGUGUGGGUUGGUAAGAUCCGGCGGUUGGGGAUGGACUCGAGGCUUAUCAGCUUGUUGGUGAGGUAGUGGCUUACCAAGGCUUUGACGGGUAGCCGGCCUUAGAGGCUGGCCGGCGACAAUGGGACUGAGAUACGCACCAGAAUGCUACGGGAGGCAGCAGUGGGGAGUAUUGCGCAAUGGGCGGAAGCCUGAUGCAGCAACGCUGCGAGCGGGAUGCCGGCCUUCGGGUGGUAAACCACUUUCGAAGGUGACGAAGCGUGAGUGACGGUACUUGGUAAAGAAGCACCGGCUAACUACGUG
rnacentral:rRNA from 1 species